rnacentral:tRNA from 1 species
GAAAUAUAUAACAAUUAAGCUGCUAACUUAAAUUAUAGUGAAUUAAAUCAUUAAUAUUUCU